rnacentral:rRNA from 1 species
AGGACGACGCUGGCGGCGUGCCUAAUACAUGCAAGUCGAACGGUCUUUCUAUGGAAGCUUGCUUCCACUGAGAAGAUAGUGGCGAACGGGGUGAGUAACACGUGGGUAACCUGCCCAUAAGAGGGGGAUAACAUCCGGAAACGGGUGCUAAUACCGCAUAGUUUUCUUGAUCGCAUGAUCGGGAAAGGAAAGACGGCCUUUGUGCUGUCGCUUAUGGAUGGACCCGCGGCGUAUUAGUUAGUUGGUGAGGUAACGGCUCACCAAGACGAUGAUACGUAGCCGACCUGAGAGGGUGAUCGGCCACAUUGGGACUGAGACACGGCCCAAACUCCUACGGGAGGCAGCAGUAGGGAAUCUUCCGCAAUGGACGAAAGUCUGACGGAGCAACGCCGCGUGAGUGAAGAAGGUUUUUUCGGAUCGUAAAACUCUGUUGUCAGAGAAGAACAAGUUGGAGAGUAACUGCUCCAGCCUUGACGGUAUCUGACCAGAAAGCCACGGCUAACUACGUGCCAGCAGCAGC